UCUCAGGCUGGGAGGUUCUUUUGCUUGUUUACAGCAUUCAUGAGCAGGCGUACGUAGGAUGUUAACAGGUCAUCCAUUUUGUAACCCUGUCAGGAAAGAAAAAAGUCUUAAAUCUCUCAGGGAGUUCCACAAGCAAAAAUAACUCAUUUCCUCCCUCACUUAUCAUCUUCUCAGGUUCUUCUUGAAUGAACAUCUUUUCUUUCAGUAUCUGUCACUGUUCUAGUUAUAAUUCAUCCAUUCCUCCCUGUGCUUUUCAUAGACUUCCAAAACUUCACAGAGCAUAGAUCCACUGUCUCCGUAGUAUUUACUCUGUAGAUUGAUUUGUACUUAAGAUUCUUGUAUUUAAGAAUUCAAGCUUUUCUGUCAGUUAGUAAUUAGCCUUUAAAUGUUUUUGUUAUCUUUACAAACCUACCUUUAAAUAUUAAUACAGUGAUGCUUCUCUGAAAUUGUGAAUAGUCUGAAACCAGUUGUUUAAAAGGAGGUACCACUCUGGAAAAUAUGAAGUCUUACAGGGCUGGCAUUACUAUACAACUGGAGGCAGACAUGCAAGACAAAAAGCUUCUUAUGUAGCUUUGCAGUCUUAACAUCUCAGAUGGAUAGAAUUUUGAUGUAUGGGAAGAAUUUGGGUAAUUACUAUUUUUCCUUGUGUUCUGUGUCAUGCAUCUUUGCAUCAGAUAUAAUUAUAUAUUAACUGAACCAGUUCCAAAUGGCAAUUUUAUUCCACACAGCAGUGAAUACUAUUUGUAUCUGCACUGGUAUUUAUCUGUUUUGGCACGUUCUUUUGUAGCAGUCCUGAUUGGAAAGUAGAAGUUAGGAUUUUGUUGCGUCUAAGUUGGCAAAACUCUUCUUACCAGAGAUGUCUCACAUAAGAGCCGGUUUCCUCGUAUCAGGUUGCCUAUUGUCAUGUGAAAGUAUGUGCUCCCACUGCUCCAGUUGGAUAUUUUAUUGAAGGGGUAGACUACUAAAAUGUCCUGCAAGGGGAAACAAACUGAUCUGUAGAACAUUUCUCAAAUGAAAACAGGCUGUUACAUAAGAAAACCUGUGGAGUCAGAGAAUUUUUGUUCUUCCCCACUUCAUUUAUAAAAGCAGUGGAUCAAGGUAGUUCUUGCAUCCACAUUAGUGGUGUAUUGUAUUGUUACCAACCAGGUAAAUUUUAAUCGCAUUAAUGAGACUUCCUUUCAUUAUAUAUUGAUCUUUGCCUUAGCACACUGCUAUCAGAUUUACAAUAAUCUACACCUGUAUUUUAAUUUACUCCAUUAUUGAAACCAAAUAGUGAUACUCCCUUUUCCUGAGAACUUUGUAAGACCAGACUGCUGGGGUUAGACUGCAGCUAAACAUGGCCAUUCAGCCUGAUCUUUCAGACAGCUGGGGCUUCCUGCAAAGCAUUUUUCUGAAGCAGGUUCCUGGGUGCAUUGCCCAUCCAUCUUCCUGAUGUUCCCACCUAGUCAGUUCUAUCAUGAUUCCCCUGUCUUUUUUCAGAGAUGCUCUAUGCUAUUCCUUUCCAGUGUAGAAACUGCAAAGAAGUGAUUUGAGACUGUAACAUUUUCUUCAGUUUCACACAGAAAAUUAGUAGAGAGCCUUUGUCCUCUCCUCCCAUUCCUGGGCAAGGUCCUAUCACUGUCCCUAAAUUAGCAGGGUCUAUUCAAUCCUUCCUUAGAUGAACUUGUGAGAGGCAGCUGUUACCUUUGUCUUCUGAUGUAUCAGUGAGACUCCUUGCUUGUUGAUUGCAAUCAGUACAAUCUCUGGGAAAUUGGGCUCCGAGGCUUGCUAUAAAUGAGUAACACAGCAAGAUAAUCAGAAAAUUGAGAAAUUAUCUGUAGCAGGGGCCCAGUGACCUUUAACAGUGUCCAGUGCUUCUUGUUCUCCUUCCCAAAUGAACACUGAAACAUUUUGGCCAUAUACUGAUGACUUGAGCAAAUGCUAUAUGACAGCAGAAUCAGGUCCAUUAUUUACUAUGCUGUCUGGUAACAGACUUAGUGAAUAAUGCAAACCAUUUAAGAGCCUAGUGAGGAGGAAUUAAAGAUAACACAUGGGAAAUUAUUAUUGGGUGAUACCCACUCCAGAAUGAGAAGGUUAGUACCAUUCUGUUCUGAGGGAAGAAUCACCAAAGAGAUAAGAUUUGGCAGCACUUUCUUGUGGAGAGCAGUGACAAUUUAGCCCCCUACAGCUGUAUAAUUGUAGUAGAGGUAUUUACAACUAAAGCAACAACAUUGCCAGUAAACAACAAGCAUAAUUUAGAAUGGAUGAAGAAUACAUCUCCCAACUUGGAAGGAACUGAGUUUUCCUCAAGAGAUUACAGGAAUUCAGCUUUAUCAUGUAUUUUUACUUUCAGAUAUGGAAUUAUAGUCAGUCUGUAUUCCUUGGUACCGAUCUACUACCAAACCAACUCACACAGGCCUUCAAACCUUACCUUCACCUCAAAAAAGGCUGAUCCAAAUGUUGGCCACCGGUGUAUCAUUUUCAAGAAAGCAAUCUUGGCCUCAUCCACAGUUUUUCCUUCAUGUUUACUAUAUGCUGUAAUAAUGCUCUGUUCAGGAAAAGAGGAUACAGAGCUAGUUGAGUUGGAGACAGACAGGUUUCCAGUGCCUUUCAGCUCAUCACCACAAUCAGGCUUUUUUCCACAGCAGUAGAAAAUUGAAAAUGAAAACAGCUGCUAUGCUAUGGGACAAGGUAAAGCUAGAACCCUCCAAUGUUCCUUAUUCCUCUGUUGGGUGAAGGAAGCCCAGCAUCUUGAGGAAGUGGACUUCAGGGCAGAGGGGCAAUGUGAGAUAGAAAGCUAGUGUUCAACACCCACAGGUACGUAUUACAUCUUUGGCUGAAAAAUGGAGGGUGAAUUUUCCCUUUGAAUUUGAAAGAAUGUCCUGUGUUUUCCUCAGCAGAUUAAGUGAUAAGUGCUUGCUGAAACUUCUUUGCCCAUUUUGUGGAUAAAAGCCUUUUGCUCUAAGUAACAUGGACACAGUGCAAGGAGAUCGAUUUGUGCCAAGAAAUACUUAUGAGACACCCUAAUUUUCUAUUUCUGUCCAGUAUCCUCAACUUCCAAGUCCCAUCACUGACUCUCCUAUCUCUUAACUCUUUUUCUGGGCACUGGAAAUAGUUAAGUAUCACCAAGAAAGAUGCACACUUGCAGAAAAGCCAUUCAGGCCUGCAGAUAUCUUUCAGAAUUUUGGUAGAGUAUGUAAAAUCUGGAUUGGAAGAGGGAAAUCCAGGAAUAUCCAAUACCAUUCCUCCACAGUACUUUCAAAGACCAUCAGAUCAAAAAUGUAGCUCAAUGUGUUUUCUCUACUAAAGCUCUGUAUAUGUAUUGUGACUAAUGUAAGCCGAUGUUCUUACCUUCUUCCAUUCGUCUGGUGACACUGCUCGGAGCAGAUUGUCUGGCACCAGUUCCUUCAGGAUUUUGUGGAUGGCUGCCAGCUGCGUGCGGUCAUUGUUGAAGCGUGCUUUAUAAAUCAGCCCUGCCAGCUGCACAGCUUCAUCCUUGGAACACUUGUGGUAGCCUCUGAGGUACUUUGGCAAUUCCUGGAAGAGACCAGCUCUGAAUCCAGGCAGAAUGGGCUAAAGCAAACACUGACUUAAAUAUUCUGUAUUUGUGAGGUCAGGACACAAGUCUUGCCAAACACAGUCCAAGGACACCCCAAGAACUUUUGGCUCCUUCUGAAAGUUCUCUGGAUGAUCUUUAAAGAUCCUUUCCAACCCAAAACUUUCUUUGAUUCUCUGAUUUAUGAAGCAAGAUGAGCAUUUCCCCAGUACAGUGAGGUAAAGGAGCUGUACUCUUAACAUGUUCAGUGUAGCUAAGGUGUGAGCACUGUGAGAAGUAAGUAUGUUCUGAGGCUGAGCUGUGCCCUCUCUGGAGGAGGUAUUCCUCUGGAGGCUCUAUAAUGCAGGCUUUUGAGAGGGAGACAGUAAUACUCCUACAGACUUAAUUUCCCAGGAGUAUUUAUUGGCUCACAUGACACCUCUGCCUUAGGGAGCUGCUUACCUGGUGGUAAUGGAAAAUAGUAUCAGCUUUCAGAUCCUUGCCAGGAGUGACAUUCAGCCACAGCUUUCUCAUGAAGUACACCUCAUAUGCCACAGACAGAGCAGCCCCUAAGGAGAUCAGAUCUUGUUAGUGUUCUCUGUGCCACUGACAGUUCUACAGUUUUUAAAUUGCUUGUGAAUUGCUUCAGGAAAGUAAUUAUGGUUUUAAUAAUAACAAAGUUACUAACAAAACAACACAAGCAGCCAUAUUAGAUGACAGAAGAAAUUAUUAGUUUUCAGUUCUGGACACUGCUCCUGCAAUGAUCAGAUGGAGAAGUUGAAGGACUACCACUGAGUGUUUGUUAUUGGUGCUCAUGACAGCUGCCUGCUGGUGUGCAGUACACCUGAAUUCUCUUACACUGAUGGGAGUACAUCCCCUGAUGCUUCUUGUCAUGCUGGCAUUCUCCUUACCAUCUUUUCCUGGUUUGUUCCUUCUAUUCCAGUCUGUCACCUGCCUUAGGGAGUCAAAGAAGUAGUCUGCUUCAUUCUGACUGAUCACCUGCAGAGGCCAAGCAAUGAAGGAGAGAAAGGAGGGGUUAGCACAUCGUAUAAAAUGCUGCCUGUACCACAUACCCAAGUAUCUGACUGAAUUUUCUUUCCCUGUCUACAGUGAGAGAGUGGAAUUACAGUAGGAAAGAAGUAAAAAAAUAGGUGGAGGAAGGCUCAAUUUCCUUAUAUUUCAUAUGGGGAUCUUUAUUGCAUCUUCUGUUGCUUCUUGCUUUCCAGGUUGCUUAUUGAAGUCAAGCUGAAGAUGCCUGCCUUAUUCCCAGUCUUCUCUUUGUAAAAAGUGUUGUUACAUACUGUUUCUCUUUUCAGGAAGGCAGCACACCAGAAACUCCCUGUGCUAGGGCUCAGUGUUGCUUUUGCCUUGAUCACAGUUUCAGAGAGAAGGGACCUCUCAGCAAGACAUCCAGCGCAAGCUUCAGCUCAGGCAAGGCAGGCUCCCAACAAACCAGAGAGUAAUUAACAGGUGCUGGUUACCCCUGCUUUCCCUUAUCCUAGUGGGCACUGUAUAUGUGCAGCACAUGUACAGAGCAAAGUGUGAGUGAAAAAGAGCUGAAUCCAGCAGUAUGCAACCAUCCUUGCAGCUGCCAGAAAGCCUACAUCUUCUCUGCUUUUAAUGCCACCUGGGUACUGGCAGAAUUAUAGAAACUGCAUCUCCAUCCAGCCUCUUCAAGAGACUGAAAAUAAUUGUCAGGUGGUAAAAGUUCAAGUUUAGAUUGCAUUGUCUCAGUAAGACAGAAGCAGUAAUCAUCUGCUCUGGUCCUUGGCUUUGUAUGGUUGUUUAGGUGAGGCAUAAGGUGGGGCAAAUAAGAAAGGAAGGCAGUCUGGUUACCCUGCCAGAUCAAGAAGGAGUUACCUUGUCUGCAAUCUUCACAAAGAGGCUGAAACCUUCCCAGGACUGCAGCUGCAAUUUGGAAGCAAUGUUCUGACACAGAGUCUGGAUUUUGGUGUUUGUUCCCACAUCAAAUGUCUAUGAGAUAACAAGACUCUUGUUACACAGAGGAGAGGAAGAAAUAAGAAUAUUGAAUGUCUUCACACAUGCUCCUGGAUGAGCACAUCAUGGCUGGAAAAAUGGUCAAGGCAGGAAAAACAAGUAAGUGCUCACCUGUUCUGUUUCAUUGGGGAAGCAAAUCUUGUGUGAGAUCUUAGUGUUGUUCUGUAAGAUGGCCUCAACCUCCACAGGAUGAGGUGCCCACUUCCUGCAGCCACUCCUGGAAAAUGCCACCAACCAUAAGAGAGAUCAGUUUAAUCAUUGAGGAAAUGAACAACAGUAUUCCAGCAGACACUCUCUAAAAUGCCAGUACUGUGCAAUGGGGUGGGCUCUAAUGGAACUCCCCAGUGCAAAUUCAGUGUAUUAACAGCAAGACACUGAGGGUCUUAUUAGAAUGUAAAGUAAAAAUGUGCUGCUUUGCAAGAAUAAGGUUGCAUGAAUAAGGCACCUUUCUAGCCAGCACCAUUGCCUCUUGUGUGGAUUCAGCAGCAUUUUUCCUUACUGAAGUAUGAAUAUAAUGGCUACAAGGAGAAACAAAUUUUAUUUAAUUCCUGACUCGGCAAAAAUACUCGGAUACAAAAUUACUUGGAGCCCGAGUACCAAAAAGGUCUGGAGGGCUGCCGAAAGCAUUACAUGCUAUGUAAGAGCUAGAGUGCAGUCACUGAUUUAGGAGGUGCUUAAGCUGUGCAAAAUUAUACCUCAGCUGUGAAAUUAUACCUCAGAGCAGAGCCGCCUUUUAUAGCAAAGGAACUGGCCCUGAAGUCUCAUUCAUGCCAAAACCUUGACAUAGUUAAAGUGAGAACAAAUCUAGCAAAUUGCCUCUUGGGGCUGGUAAGUUCCUGUCCUCGGUGGCACAGAGCAGGCUGUUCAGGUAUUUUGAACACCAUAGCUAACUGGCCUCUCACACUGGGUCAGUCUCUCAGCUGGAGGUUGGUCUGGAUCCAAGCUUUAAUUAUGUGGAUUUGAAAACUUUUCUUCCCAUUCUAUAAAGGAGCAUUUCCAUUUGGAGAAGGAAAACUUGACUGUAGCCAAGCUAGAGCAUGUGCUUUGUACUGUGCAGGCACUGUAUGAAGUGUGGACCUGCCCUACUCAGUUACCUGUUCCUGAACUGGCAUCAGAGGGAGGCCCUGGGAGCUCAAGGAAUUGCAGCAGUUAGGCUGCAGAGGCAUAGGGCUACCCACCUUUCCUUGCAGCCUAAGCUAGUAAUUCGCUGCCAAGGUGAGAUCUGCUUAACAGCCAUCAGGAUGGCUCCCUGGCCAGGAUUCUGGGGAUGAAGCUGUAAAGUGGUUUAUGGAGAAAAAGGUGUAUGCCCAAGGGCUCAGUUGGCUUCCACUGUAUGUAUUGUAGGUCAAUCCUUUGAGCUGCCUGCUCUACCCUUUCCAAAGAGACCAAAUUACUUACAGGGAGAAGUUGGACUAGAUCAUCACUGAAGAUCCCUUCCAACUGAAAUAGUUUAUUCUAUUCUAUUCUAUUCUAUUCUAUUCUAUUCUAUUCUAUUCUAUUCUAUGUAGAUGCAAGUUUGAUUUUAGGAAAAGAACCACUCUUAGAAGACAAGAUUUGUCUUUGUUCCCCUUCCCAUCCCCCAGGCUCCAGAUCUGGGGCAGUUUAGCAGAUAAAAUUCUCCUUCCAAACAACCCAUUCUGCUUUCCCCUCCCUAAUUACUCUCUCUAAAGGAGCUCUGUACAGCUCAACAGGGCUUACAGCAUGAAUAGUACAUGAUAUAGGGAGGCAGGAAUUUUUAAGUCUUCUCCAUAGAAAUAAACAAUGAAUAGCAUUCCUUGCCAUGCAUUUUUCAGACACUUCAAAAGCGAGCUCAAUGUGUGGUGACAUUUCCCCAGCAGUGCCAAAUCCCAUCCACUGCAAGAGGGAUAUCCACUAUGUUAGUGUUCCCCUAGAGCCUGACCCGUGGGGCUCACAGACCAAACAUGUGGCCCAGCCUGAGAGAAAGGGGAAGAUGGAGAAACUGGAAGGAGAAAUAAUUGGGCAGAUUCUUUACUGAUGAGGGCUGUGGCAAGCAAGUGGUAAAUCACAACACCAUCAAAAGGGAAAAGGCUGGAGUCAACCUUGAGGCCAAAGCUUUGUUCUCAGAGGGGCAAGCUGGGUUAUUCCAGUACUUGGAGGAAUCUAGGGAAACCUUUCCCUUACAGUUCAGUUGAUCCUUCCUGAAAUCCUGUUAGCCCUUUCCCUCUCUCUGGUGUCACGUCCCUUAGAACGACUUCGCAUUUGAAAACACUUUGGUUUGGAGGUCUUGUUGCUUCAGCUUGGGGUAAUGCCAAGGGGAUGGAGAAGUGCCUUGCUCUGAGCAGCCAAGUAGGAGUCAGGGCUUUGUUCAUUUGAGGUUUUUCAAAGAAUAGGAAUUGGUUGUACUGACCCUUUCAACAAGGUUAUGCUGCCUCACCAAAGAAAAGUAAGGUCAGGAUAUCAUCACUGACAUCAUUCCAACUGCAUGCCCUUUAGGAUGUUUGAAAUACCCAGCUCUGGGAGUCAAGUGAUUAUGUGUGGUGAUGAACUUUUAAAAAUGCUGCUAACUGUGAAAGAAAAAAGUGAAACUGUGACAUAGACCUCUCUUUAAUGGUUCAAAGUCCAUAAAGAAAGUUAAAAAUAAUGAUCACUUAAAAAAACAAGAUAUAAAGACGAAAAGGAAAGUAACAGUCACGUUAUUUUAGCCUGUGUGUUUUCUGGGACCUGAUUAUUGACAUUUGAACACUUUGAGCUGGUUAUAUGCCAGAUUAUUUACCUCAUUACUGUCUGAAUCCUCCGACGGCAGCCUGGAGCCAGUGUUUCUUUCUGACGUGUCUCUAUGAACUUCUGGGCGUGUUUCAGCAGUGACUUGCUGGGUGGGAAGAGGCCAGUGCAGAGCCAGAGGAGCUGCCAGCCCUUGGUCUCACUGUACCUGUGAAUGCAAAGCCAACAGUUCUGCUACAGCCACAUAUAAUUCUGUGUUUGACCACACAACCAGCUACAGGUUCCUCCAUGAAGGAGUUCUGUGAAGCUGUCCUCCUCUGGUCUGGAGACAUCAUCAGCAAACUCUGGAAUAACACAGCCACAUAGAGAUGUCACAUGGCCUCUGCAAGUAUUGUCAGUCUUUUCACAGGGAGUGCUUAGCUUUCCUUACCACCACUUGACUAGAAGGUUUUGUGAGGGAAGGAAUGAUGUAGAUGUCUUCCAAAAAUACAUUCCCUGUUUUGCCUGUCCUUUCAU